AUUGAACGCUGGCGGCAGGCCUAACACAUGCAAGUCGAACGAGUGGCGGACGGGUGAGUAAUGUCUGGGAAACUGCCCGAUGGAGGGGGAUAACUACUGGAAACGUUAGCUAAUACCGCAUACCAUCGGAUGUGCCCAGAUGGGAUUAGCUAGUAGGUGGGGUAACGGCUCACCUAGGCGACGAUCCCUAGCUGGUCUGAGAGGAUGACCAGCCCAACUGGAACUGAGACACGGUCCAGACGCCUACGGGAGGCAGCAGUGGGGAAUAUUGCACAAUGGGUGAAAGCCUGCUGCAGCCAUGCCGGGUGUAUGAAGAAGGCAUUCGGGUUGUAAAGUACUUUCAGCGGGGAGGCGUUACCCGCAGAAGAAGCACCGGCUAACUCCGUGCCAGCAGCCGCGGUAAUUC
rnacentral:rRNA from 1 species